rnacentral:tRNA from 1 species
GCGCCCGUAGCUCAGCUGGAUAGAGUGCAGGCCUCCGAAGCCUGAGGUCGUGGGUUCGACUCCCGCCGGGCGCGCCA